AUACGGAGGAUCCGAGCGUUAUCCGGAUUUAUUGGGUUUAAAGGGUGCGCAGGCGGCCAUUUAAGUCAGCGGUUAAAUCGUGGGGCUCAACCCCAUUCUGCCGUUGAUACUGGGUGGCUUGAUUGCGGUCGAGGUUGGCGGAAUUCGUUGUGUAGCGGGGAAAUGCAUAGAUAUGACGAAGAACACCGAUUGGGUAGGCAGCUGACCAGACCGCAAAUGACGCUCAUGCACGAAAGUGCGGGGAUCGAACAGGAUUAGAUACCCUGGUAGUCCGCACAGUAAACGAUGAAUACUUGUUUUCGGCGAUAUAAUGUCGGAGGCAAAGCGAAAGCGAUAAGUAUUCCACCUGGGGAGUACGCCGGCAACGGUGAAACUCAAAGGAAUUGACGGGG
rnacentral:rRNA from 1 species